rnacentral:rRNA from 1 species
GACGAACGCUGGCGGCGUGCUUAACACAUGCAAGUCGUACGGUAAGGCCCUUUCGGGGGUACACGAGUGGCGAACGGGUGAGUAACACGUGAGUAACCUGCCCACAACUUUGGGAUAACGGUAGGGAACUGGGGCUAAUACUGGAUAUGUGCUCCUGCUGCAUGGUGGGGGGUGGAAAGCUCCGGCGGUUGUGGAUGGACUCGCGGCCUAUCAGCUUGUUGGUGGGGUAGUGGCCUACCAAGGCGGCGACGGGUAGCUGGCCUGGGAGGGUGACCGGCCACAUUGGGACUGAGAUACGGCCCAGACUCCAACGGGAGGCAGCAGUGGGGAAUAUUGCACAAUGGGCGCAAGCCUGAUGCAGCAACGCCGCGUGCGGGAUGACGGCCAUCGGGUUGUAAACCGCUUUCAGCAGGGACGAAGCUUUUUGUGACGGUACCUGCAGAAGAAGCACCGGCUAACUACGU